rnacentral:tRNA from 1 species
AUUUAUAUAGUUUACAUAAAACAUUACAUUUUCAUUGUAAAAUUAAAUAAUUUUAUUUUAUAAAUU